UGGUGUUUAACUCAGUAGGUAGAGUAUUGUGCUUACACCGCGGAGGUCGAAGGUUCAAAUCCUUCAACACCAA
rnacentral:tRNA from 1 species